rnacentral:rRNA from 1 species
AUUGAACGCUGGCGGCAGGCCUAACACAUGCAAGUCGAGCGGAUGAAGGGAGCUUGCUCCUGGAUUCAGCGGCGGACGGGUGAGUAAUGCCUAGGAAUCUGCCUGGUAGUGGGGGAUAACGUCCGGAAACGGGCGCUAAUACCGCGUACGUCCUGAGGGAGAAAGUGGGGGAUCUUCGGACCUCACGCUAUCAGAUGAGCCUAGAUCGGAUUAGCUAGUUGGUGGGGUAAAGGCCUACCAAGGCGACGAUCCGUAACUGGUCUGAGAGGAUGAUCAGUCACACUGGAACUGAGACACGGUCCAGACUCCUACGGGAGGCAGCAGUGGGGAAUAUUGGACAAUGGGCGAAAGCCUGAUCCAGCCAUGCCGCGUGUGUGAAGAAGGUCUUCGGAUUGUAAAGCACUUUAAGUUGGGAGGAAGGGCAGUAAGUUAAUACCUUGCUGUUUUGACGUUACCAACAGAAUAAGCACCGGCUAACUUCGUG